CGAUGAUGCCCAGCUUGCUGGGCGGAUUAGUGGCGAACGGGUGAGUAAUACGUGAGUAACCUGCCCUUGACUCUGGGAUAAGCCUGGGAAACUGGGUCUAAUACUGGAUACUACCUCUUACCGCAUGGUGGGUGGUGGAAAGGGUUUUACUGGUUUUGGAUGGGCUCACGGCCUAUCAGCUUGUUGGUGGGGUAAUGGCUCACCAAGGCGACGACGGGUAGCCGGCCUGAGAGGGUGACCGGCCACACUGGGACUGAGACACGGCCCAGACUCCUACGGGAGGCAGCAGUGGGGAAUAUUGCACAAUGGGCGGAAGCCUGAUGCAGCGACGCCGCGUGAGGGAUGACGGCCUUCGGGUUGUAAACCUCUUUCAGUAGGGAAGAAGCGAGAGUGACGGUACCUGCAGAAGAAGCGCCGGCUAACUACGUGCCAGCAGCCGCGGUAAUACGUAGGGCGCAAGCGUUGUCCGGAAUUAUUGGGCGUAAAGAGCUCGUAGGCGGUUUGUCGCGUCUGCUGUGAAAGCCCGGGGCUCAACCCCGGGUCUGCAGUGGGUACGGGCAGACUAGAGUGCAGUAGGGGAGACUGGAAUUCCUGGUGUAGCGGUGAAAUGCGCAGAUAUCAGGAGGAACACCGAUGGCGAAGGCAGGUCUCUGGGCUGUUACUGACGCUGAGGAGCGAAAGCAUGGGGAGCGAACAGGAUUAGAUACCCUGGUAGUCCAUGCCGUAAACGUUGGGCACUAGGUGU
rnacentral:rRNA from 2 species